GCUCCCGUCGUCCAGAGGCCUAGGACUCAUGAUUUUCAUUCAUGCAACUCCGGUUCGAAUCCGGACGGGAGUA
rnacentral:tRNA from 1 species